GGGGGCAUAGCUCAGUUGGGAGAGCAGCAGACUGAAGUCAGUUUCUUCUGAAGGUCCCGUGUUCAAUCCGCGGUGCCCCCA